GGCUGGUCGGAGUGCAGUGGUGUUUAUAACGAGUUGAUCACAACCAGUUACAAAUUUAUUUGUUCUUUCUGUACUCCCACUGCUUCACUUGACUAGCCUAAA
ensembl:Y_RNA Y_RNA Y RNA